rnacentral:lncRNA from 1 species
CGCCGUGGCCCCGGGGGGCUCACACGCCGCUGCUGGCUCCGGCGCGAUCGGGCUUUGCUGAUUGCCUUCGGUGGCUCUUGGCUUGAACCCACCGGUUUCCAGCUGCUGAGCGCGCGGAUAAAGCCCUGCUGCAGGGACGUUAGGAGCAGAGCUGAAAAUACAGCCAUCAUACAGGAGAGAAAAGAAAUAAGCAGAGGCAUCAUCGGUCAGAGACUCCCCCGGUACUGACAAGA